rnacentral:rRNA from 1 species
GUGCAGAAGAGCUGCCGGUAUAUUAUAACCAUUAAACCCACAGGCGAAGACAACUCGAUUGUCACGGGAUUACGGGCACGGAUGGGGCGCAACGUAAUAGAACCGAGCCCCUCCAUCCCAGGGUGCUCCGUCACGGGUGCUUGCAGCGGGCAUCCCCGGAGUGCGCAGGAUGUGACCCGAAAGAUGGUGAACUAUGCUUGAUCAGGUCGAAGUCAGGGGAAACCCUGAUGGAGGACCGAAGCAAUUCUGACGUGCAAAUCGAUUGUCAGAGUUGAGCAAUGGGG